GCGGGCGUAGCUCAAAGUGGUGAGAGCAGCCGCCUUAUAAGCGGCAGGUUCCGGGUUCGACACCCGGCGUCCGCACCA
rnacentral:tRNA from 1 species